AAUAUGAUGCAUAUCAGGAUGUGUUUGGCAUCUGGAUAAGUUUUCUCUCUGCCAUUUUGGUGUCUCCAAAAUUGAGGGCUUCUGGUGAGAACCUGGAGGUUGGUCUGGACCGGGGCAGGAGAGCACGGGGCAGCAGCAGCAUCCAUGGCAGCGGGCAUGGGCACCUGGCACUGCUCUUGCCUCAAAUUCACCAGGAAUUAGCCAGGCAAAUUCUACUUUCAAGAUACAAGUGCAAUUGGCUGGCUGAUCUGCACACCCAGCUACCAAAAUCAUGUAUGUAAAUGGAGUAACCAUGCGGAAAAGCUUAUCUCGAAUCACCAUUUGCAGGUAAUAACCUGAUUUUGGCACAUUCACCAGCUGUAGUGCUGUGCACGCCUCGGUUUGCAGCAGGGCAUGUCCUGCUCCAGCAGCUCUGGCCGUCCAGGAAGGCGCCAGGCAGACAAGCACGGACAUUGUGUGUCUUGGGAAUGGCCAGCUGGGACAGAAACCUUCCCAAAUCCUGCUGGCAAUGCUGCCCUUGGCUUUUUCCAGUUGCACAAGGGUUGUUGGGGCAUGAUGGAAGCAGCACAGCAGCAUCAUCCCACCGGGCAGCGGGGUACAUGCGGACGGAGCACAGCCAAGGGAGACAUCUGCAUGCGAUAGCAGCAUUGGAAGUGGCCUGAACUUUCUGGAGGCUUUAAUGCUCCAAGAGCUGUAGAGUUGCUGCCCAGCCUGCAAGGUCCAUCCUUAGUGCUGGAAGGAUGGCUUCCAGUGCCUGCAUCCUUAGGCAUCAACCGAAGCAUGGACAGCCUUGGGAACUCAUCUUGUACGACGGGACCUGCUGGAACCAAGGAAGACCACGUGUAAGCUGUUUGUGCACAUGGAUACUGAGCUGCCGCCUUGCUUUACUGAGGUGAUGGGAAAAGCAUCUGAGCUCGGCUGUGCUGCCUCGUCCCGGAGCAGAGGAUAUGGAAGUACACCCAUUAAAACUGCAGGAUGGACCUGGGUGCAGGGAGAUAUGGGUCAGGUAAGGGGACAAGAUUUGGUCCUUUCUCCUAAGCUCAUCUGAGCUGUGUGGUCUUGGGGAAGUGAUAAAAGCUGGCUGGGAAAAUUUGUGAAAACAGAGUGGGGUUGUUUGGCUGCCCAGGGGCUGAAGUGCAAAAUGCAAUGUCAGAGCAGAGGAGUGCGCAAACACCUUCACUGCUGCAGCAUCCGAAGGGCUUGGGUGCAGGAGCGACCUUCUCUCCCUUGGCUGAGCUCAUCUGAGAGCAAAUGUCUUUAGUUCACACAUGACACAGCUCACCCAGCUCCCGUAAAUUCACAAGUGAGAGGGAGUCCCAUGGUGGAGGGACCCCGAGGGACCAUCCAAACCAUCCUUCCAGCAGCCCAGCCCUUGGCAGGGCAGGAACCUCUCCUGAACCAAGUUGAUGGAGAAGACUGGUCUUCAUUUCUGGAUUGACACAGCUUAGCAGAUCCAGCUGGGAUUCAUCAUAAGGUGACAGAGUAGUGCUGAGCACUGCGCUGAGGUCUGCCCACCUUGCCUGUGUUUUGGGCAGAACUGUGGCUGAGCAGGUGGUCUCUGCAGUGCAUAUACCCCCCUUGGAGCCCUUCCUGUGGUCCCUCUGCAGUGCAUAAAGGUGCUCGGAGCCCUCGUUGCUGUCCUCUGCGAGGGGUGAUCUCCCCUCUGCGCAUAGAGCAGAGGUGCCUGGGUGCCUCUCGCUGGUGGUGAUUCAGCCAAAGCAAACAAGCAUUGGUUGCCCUGCCCGGAGAGCAGCUGAGCAAUGAUAAUUACCUCUUUGUUUCCUCCUUUUGGAGUUAUUUGCAGCAGAAAAGCAUGUUUGCCUUUUUCUGUUUAUUCACACGGUCUGUUCUCAAGUGCUUGCUCUCUGUGCCUUCCUGCCUUUUAUUUGUGACCAGAGGAUGAGGAAGAUGAUGGUUUUUCCUCUCUGCUUCCCCCCUGGCCUGCCUAGGGUCCCCUCUGCCUGCCCAGCUGCACCAGUCUGGGCUUUACUGGGAAGGGAGCUGGCUGAUGAGUGCCUGCGAGACGGGGGCUGCUCUCUGCCUCUGUGUACAUCUGAUACACACGCCUGUUUUGUAUAAACUAGUGGACGCACGUGGGAGGUAAACAAGGCAAUCAGUCUGGCUCUGGGAAUCUGGAAGGGAAAAAAACCUUAUCUGCAAGGUGAGUGUGAAGAAAGUAGCUUGCUGAAUGCAGCCGCUGAGGACAGGGAGGGGACGAGGCAGCAGGUCCCCACGCACCCGACCCACGGGUGGGCAGCCGGCAGCAAAGGGUAUGGCAACACUCAUCGCCCUUGCAGGAUGCUGCGAUGAUGCUCUGGCUAAGAUAAAACCCCCACACAGCCAUCCUUGCCCCUUCCUCCACUGUUCCACCCCUCCUUGCCACUGCAGAGGGGCCUCUCACGUCCGUCGUUCCGUCCAUCCACAGCACAGUGCUGCUUUCCCGCAAUGCUGGGGGGGCACAAGGGUGCUUUGACACAGGGCAACGUUCACCGACCCUGGCCUGAAACAAACCCCUUCGAGUCCUGCCCAAGGUGACAAGCAGAAACGGAGCCUUUCCGUAGUGUUUGCUUUGCGCGAGUACACAAUAACGCUGUAACCUUGGGUUGUUUGAACUAGCCAGGAGUGUCAUUGCCAGCAUUAUAUUCAACAGUUGUACUUGACUGAAUAAGCAGAGGGGUUUUUUUUUUCCCCCUCCCUGUCAUAAUGGCCCUAUCCCACGGAGGGGUGAUGGAUUGCUUUUUCGGUUGCACAUGCUGUUAUCGCUGUGCUGUUCUAAUGCUAGUCAAACAUUAUUGUGAAUAGCCAAACUCAAUAGCAGCAGUGUUAGGCUGGAAAGUCAAUAUUGGCUGAGCAAACAAAGCAAAUAAAGAGUUGCUAUUUGCGUAGCCAUGAGUAUUUGUGUGCUCUGCUGCUGAACAGGGUACUUUGAAAUAAUAAUAAUAAUAAUAAUAAUAAUAAUAAUAAUAAUAAUAAUAAUAAUAAUAAAAUGUUGUUUCUUCAAGGCAGGGAAUGUUUUUUAUUUAGGGUAGAAGAGUCGGCUUUUAUUAAAGUUCACGUUUGCUUCCUUGAAAGCUGCGGCAGUGGCGCAGGCACGGCCACCCCUCUGGCGGCUCUCGGGGAGCAAAGCUGGGUGUGCGAGACGGCUGCUGGCGGUGCCGCCGCUCACGCUGGCACUGUCAGCUCCCCUGACCUUUAACACUGCAAGGAAAAGUGUGGGAAUCUGCCAAAGUGGCCAAGUGCUGAAGCAGCAAAUGAUAUUAAGUUAUCCAUUAAAAGGCAACUCUUCUCCUGGAGGAGCAGCUCCGUGUUUCGUCGAUGUCUCUUGGCAGACCCACACUUGCUCCUGCGAGGCACCUCUCUGCCCUGAGGAUGCUCCGUUGCCGCUGGGACAGGGGCCCUGCGUGGGAGCGCCUGCUUCGUUUGGAUUUAAUUUGCAUUUCCCUGUUUCUUGUUAACUUUCUGGCACUUCUCGAGGUUCACUGCGUGACCUUCUAAAUGACGCACGCCUAUUUAUAACCCGCUGUCUGUGGCCCAGUGCCACUUUGAGAAGCCCUGGAAAUGAACUCCAAUAAACCAUUCCUUCAUUAAUAUUGGAUACCCCAACGUACGCACCCAACGUGCAUGCUAAGGAGGGGAUGCCACAGCCCAGCUUCAUCCCAGGCUUGUUUCUUUAUAGAAAGCAUUGUUAAAUAUAGAUGCCGAGCUGGAUUAGCUCGGGGGCAGCAGGUCCUGACCCCACACUGCCCCUCUCCCCCCGGGACCCCUUCCCAGCUCGGGAUGCAUGUGCUGCUCUACUGGUUUAGUGUGUGUAGUGUUUUUCAUGCAAUUUCCAGCCCAGGAUGCUUCAGAGAGAUAAAUAAUACAGCUGGGGGAUUAAAUAAUUGAUUCCAAAGAAGGAAAGUAGCUGUGAGGCAUAGGCAAGAGAAUAUAUAUAUAUAUAUAUAUAUAUAUGUACACACACACACACAUAUAGUGGUUUUAGUAGAGCUGGAAGAUGAGGAGUUGAAGGCGAAGUGCAGGCUGCCUCUUUCUGGGAGGUGCGGAAAAGAGAGCUCUGGUGCUGGAGAGGGUGAAGAAACACCUGGAAGAGACGAGAUGGGGGUAAGGGCAGUGAGAGAUGUUCCUGCAGGUGCCAAUGGCUGAGAGCAUGCUCAUGCCUGGGACUCCUGCAGCCUCAGCUCGCAGAGAAGGAUGGUCGUCCUUGAAGAACCCAGGGCAAAGAAGAAAGGAAGGGGUCUGGGAGAUGUCCAAAAUCUGGAGGUUUUAUCUUCCUGCUGGUUUUGUGACUGGAGAGGCUUCUGGAAUCUGGGCUGCAGAAUCACUUUGCCCUUGGCCAAGCCAGGCACAAAGCCUCAGCAGAGCCGAGUGGGGAAUGGGCUGAGUGAGCCGAGCUGUGGUGCGACGCUGUCGUAGGUGAGCUCAGCUGCCCUCUCCUCGGCUGCCUGUGCCCUUGCAGCUGUGACGCUGGGAAGGGGGACCCAGCUCUUCCCCCGGGAAGGACAAACCAGACACCCCCGUGAUAAAUCCCCCCCAUGCCCACAGCUGCCCAAGGAUGAGAGCAUCCUCCCAUUGAAGUGAAAAAAAGGAAAAAUGCUGUGAGCAUACGACAGUUUGCGAAUGAGCAGGGGCUGGGGAUGAAGGGAAGG